GAUCAGUUGAUGAGAAAAAUAAAACUGCAACAAUAUGAUUGGAUUUAUUCCAUGAUACUUGUAUUUAAGUCUGAUGAUC
rnacentral:snoRNA from 1 species